GAGCAUUGUUUCAUACAGUGAAGACUAUAUGAAUAUGGGAUUACUAUGUGUUGUAAUACCUACAACUAAGAGGCCUGGAUUAGUUUUUCCUUUUGAGCAAUCCCAUUAUUUUAAGUGGUAGAACCAAGGGUAUAAUCAUUUUCUCUUGUGCUCUUGUUUUGGGACAGUUUCAAGCACAUAGACAAUUGUACCCAUAACAACCACCAACAACUUUUUGUGGUUUUGGGGAUCAAACCCAGGGCCUCAUGAAUGCCAGGCAAGUGCUCCACUAACUACUGAGCUGCAUCCCCAGCCUUUUUCAUUUUUUGAGCCAGGGUUACACUAAGUUGCUUAGGCCUUGAUAAGUUGCUGAGGCUGGCCUUAAAUUUGGGAUUCUCCUGCCUCAGCUUCCCAGGGUUGGUUGCUGAGAUUGCAGUUCUAGGAGACUUUUUUUGGCCUCUGCUUUUUUUUUUUUCCCCUAGAUUUAUAUGUGGUGCUGAGAAUCAAACCCAGUGCCUCACACAUGACAGGCAGGUGCACUAUGGCUGAGUCACAGCCCCAUUAAGUUCUUUUUAUUUGAGACAGGGUCUCACUAAGUUGCACAGGCUGACUUUGAACUUAGAUCCUCCUGCCUCAGCCUCUCAACUCCUUGGAUUAUAGGCAUGAACCACCACUCCUGGUUUAUCUUUCACAUUUAAAAAAAAAAUUUUUUUUUCUUUUUAGUCGGACACAAUACCUUUAUUUUUAUGUGGUGCUGAGGAUCCAACCCAGGGCCUCGCAUGUGCUAGGCAAGCACUCUACCGCUGAGCUACAACCCCAGCCCCUAUCUUUCACAGUUUUAAAGAAGGCACUUUAAAACACUUCUAACUGGAGUCUAACUGGUAUGACACAUGUACUACUUUCCACUUUACUGUUAAUCUGAUAAGGUUACCUUCUGUGUUUAGUGUUUACAGAUGAAGAAACUUUUAAGCCAUUUCUGAUGUCUGUCAAUAAGGAGUAAGUGAACAUAGUCAGCUUUCAUAUUUGAUGUUUUGACAUGAUUUUAAAAAAGAACUUUUUUAGAGAGUUGGGUGUGGUGGUACCUGCAUUUAAUUCCAGCUGGGAGGCUGAGGCAGGAGGAUCACAAGUUCAAUGCCAGCCUCAGCAGUUUAAGGCCCUAUGCAACUUGGUGAGACCCUGUCUCAAAAUAAAGGGCUGAGGAUGUGACUCAGUGGUUAAGUGAGUUUGGGUCAAUCCCUGGUAAUAAAAACAAGCUAAACCAAACUUUUUUUUGGUUUAAGUCUCCUACUUCACUGGAAAUGAUUCUGUGUUGAAAAUUUGGUGUGAAUUCUUCCAGGACACCAUCUAGUGGUAAAGGGCUGGUAGCUGCAAGCCCCUUAGUGAGUAGGAUGGAUCAGUGGCAAAAUUGAACCAAUGCUGAUUUCAGAGGGAACUUGACCCUAAACUGAGAUUGAGAAGAAAAGUGAAACUGGUCAAACGAAGGUAAUAAAAUGAUGAUGUAGGAAUGGAAAGACAAGGGUCAAGCUACCUGGAGAGAGUGACACUGGGUAGGUCAGCCAGUAAGAUUGGACAUUUGCUUUGUUUUUGGUACUGGGGAUUGAAUCCUGGGGUGCUUUAUUACUGAG
rnacentral:lncRNA from 1 species